UACGAAGGGGGCUAGCGUUGCUCGGAAUUACUGGGCGUAAAGCGCACGUAGGCGGCUUUCUAAGUCGGGGGUGAAAUCCUGGAGCUCAACUCCAGACUGCCUUCGAUACUGGAGAGCUCGAGUCCGGGAGAGGUGAGUGGAACUGCGAGUGUAGAGGUGAAAUUCGUAGAUAUUCGCAAGAACACCAGUGGCGAAGGCGGCUCACUGGCCCGGUACUGACGCUGAGGUGCGAAAGCGUGGGGAG
rnacentral:rRNA from 1 species